rnacentral:lncRNA from 1 species
UUUUACCGUUGUGGAGCGUAAAAGCUAAGGCUGUAAAUAUUUGUUUUGGGCAGAUUGAUGGUAUCAAGUGGAAACUCCACAGUGGAAGACGAUCCAUCGUCACCAGGACUGUUGAACUGCCAGUUAGAAGAGCUGCCGUGGCUUUCUGGAAAGCUUCGAGAGCUGUGGAGCUGCCCAUUUGGAUUGGUGAGUUGUCAUUUUUACCCACCUACUGAAAAGCUC